rnacentral:sRNA from 1 species
CUUUUAAAGAAGGUCACUGACUCUUUCAAAGUUGAGCAUACAAUCAUUAAAUGGAUGAAUGAUUAACAUAGUGCCCAGUGCUGGUCAGUGCUAUAAGCCACUAGCUGUAGUUUAGCCACUCUACACUUGAUCCUCCUUCUGAAUGUUUCUGAGACGAUUUUGAUGAAGGAUAAGGAGAACCAGUUCCUGAUGUUUGUAAUCAAGACUGCAGCUUGGCAUACCCGUGGUGGAUUUGUUUUGUGCAGCUUGUCUGUAGGUUCCAGAUUCAAUGGCUUGUAGCAGACCCUUUCAGCCCAGUCCUGUAGGAGAAACUUAACCAAGCAGGCCCAGCUGCAAUGCUGGCGCAUACACCGUUGAUACUUCCUUUUGGAGCCAACCUAGAAUCUGUCCACGUGACCUCUGAAGCUGGAUCAGGCAUUAGAGUGAGCCAAGAGAAAGAGAAAGCACCACAUCUGGCUACUUGACAGCCAAUGCGAUGCUGGGUGGGAGGUAUAAUGGUUUGUGCAGUUCUUGCAAUAAAUGAGUCUGCUUUGGCAACUUGCCUGA